rnacentral:rRNA from 1 species
UACGAAGGGGGCUAGCGUUGUUCGGAUUUACUGGCGUAAAGCGCACGUAGGCGGAUCGUUAAGUCGGGGGUGAAAUCCUGGAGCUCAACUCCAGAACUGCCUUCGAUACUGGCGAUCUUGAGUCCGGAAGAGGUGAGUGGAACUCCUAGUGUAGAGGUGGAAUUCGUAGAUAUUGGGAAGAACACCGGUGGCGAAGGCGGCAACCUGGUCCUUGACUGACGCUGAGGCGCGAAAGCAUGGGGAGCGAACAGG